GACGAACGCUGGCGGCGUGCCUAAUACAUGCAAGUAGAACGCGGAAGGAGGAGCUUGCUUCUCUGGAUGAGUUGCGAACGGGUGAGUAACGCGUAGGUAACCUGCAUGGUAGCGGGGGGUAACUAUUGGAAACGAUAGCUAAUACCGCAUAAUAGUAGAUGUCGCAUGACAUUUGCUUAAAAGGUGCAAUUGCAUCACUACCAGAUGGCCCUGCGUUGUAUUAGCUAGUUGGUGAGGUAACGGCUCACCAAGGCAACGAUACAUAGCCGACCUGAGAGGGGGAUCGGCCACACUGGGACGGGGACACGGCCCAGACUCCUGCGGGAGGCAGCAGUAGGGAAUCUUCGGCAAUGGACGGAAGUCUGACUGAGCAACGCCGCGCGAGUGAAGAAGGUUUUCGUAUCGUAUAGCUCUGUUGUAAGAGAAGAACGAGUGUGAGAGUUGAAAGUUCUCACUGUGACGGUAUCUUACCAGAAAGGGACGGCUAACUACGUG
rnacentral:rRNA from 1 species